rnacentral:rRNA from 1 species
UACGGAGGAUCCGAGCGUUAUCCGGAUUUAUUGGGUUUAAAGGGUGCGUAGGCGGUUUGAUAAGUUAGAGGUGAAAUGUCGGGGCUCAACCCCGAAACUGCCUCUAAUACUGUUGGACUAGAGAAUAGUUGCGGUAGGCGGAAUGUAUGGUGUAGCGGUGAAAUGCUUAGAGAUCAUACAGAACACCGAUUGCGAAGGCAGCUUACCAAACCAUAUCUGACGUUGAGGCACGAAAGCGUGGGUAGCAAACAGG